UUAAGUAAACAGGGGUGCCUUUAACUAGGCUGAGAAAUACUCUUAAAAGUUGAACUAGUUAGUACUAGCGUAACGAGUUUAUUUUUUAUAUAU
rnacentral:ncRNA from 2 species